rnacentral:rRNA from 1 species
GAUGAACGCUGGCGGCGUGCCUAAUACAUGCAAGUCUAGCGAACAGACGAGGAGCUUGCUCCUCUGACGUUAGCGGCGGACGUGUGAGUAACACGUGGAUAACCUACCUAUAAGACUGGGAUAACUUCGGGAAACCGGAGCUAAUACCGGAUAAUAUAUUGAACCGCAUGGUUCAAUAGUGAAAGACGGUUUUGCUGUCACUUAUAGAUGGAUCCGCGCCGCAUUAGCUAGUUGGUAAGGUAACGGCUUACCAAGGCAACGAUGCGUAGCCGACCUGAUAGGGUGAUCGGCCACACUGGAACUGAGACACGGUCCAGACUCCUACGGGAGGCAGCAGUAGGGAAUCUUCCGCAAUGGGCGAAAGCCUGACGGAGCAACGCCGCGUGAGUGAUGAAGGUCUUCGGAUCGUAAAACUCUGUUAUUAGGGAAGAACAAAUGUGUAAGUAACUAUGCACGUCUUGACGGUACCUAAUCAGAAAGCCACGGCUAACUACGUG